GCAAGUCGAACGAGAAAGCCCCUUCGGGGGUGAGUAGAGUGGCGAACGGGUGAGUAACGCGUAAGAAUUUGCUCUUUAGUGAAGAAUACCCUCGAGAAAUCGGGGCUAAUACUGCAUAAGUCUCUUCGGAGAGAAAGGUGGCCUCUUGCUACCGCUAAAGAAUAAGCUUGCGUACUAUUAGCUUGUUGGUGAGGUAAAGGCUCACCAAGGCUAUGAUGGUUAGCCGGCCUGAGAGGGUGAUC
rnacentral:rRNA from 1 species